rnacentral:lncRNA from 1 species
AAAAAAAAAAAACUAUUUAAAGCAGGCAGGAUUUGAAGCCAAUAUGGAAAAGAUGAAGUUUGGAAGAAGAGCAACACAAGAUGGUAUA